AACGCACGAGACCUGCGGACCUGCGGAAGGAUCAUUAAUGAGAAGCUGCCCCUCGUGGGUAGACCUCCCACCCUCUGUGAACUUACCUUUGUUGCUUUGGCAGGCCCGUCCUCUGGACCGCCGGCUUCGGCUGGCCCGUGCCUGCCAGAGGAUUCCAAACCCAGUCUGUCAGUGUUGUCUGAGUCUAUAUGAAAUCGUUAAAACUUUUAACAAUGGAUCUCUAGAUCGGAAGAGCACACG
rnacentral:misc_RNA from 1 species